CCUCGGUCUCCGCACAGGGACAUCGGGAAGCGGCUGGAGGUGCGGAAGGCCGUGGCCGCCUGCCAGGGCGGCCCCGACCACGUCACCCGGCUGGAGCACGCCCAGGCUCGGCUCACCCUGUCCUACAACCGCCGCGGCGACCUGGCCAUCCACCUGGUCAGCCCCAUGGGCACCCGCUCGACCCUGCUGGCGGCCAGGCCACACGACUACUCUGCAGACGGCUUUAGCGACUGGGCCUUCAUGACCACCCACUCCUGGGACGAGGACCCCGCCGGCGAGUGGGUCCUGGAGAUCGAGAACACCAGCGAGGCCAGCAACUACGGAACGCUGACCAAAUUCACCCUGGUGCUGUACGGCACGGCCCCGGGCGGGCCGCCCCCGCCCCCC